rnacentral:rRNA from 1 species
CUACGGGUUGCAGCAGGCGAGAAAACUUUGCAAUGUGCGAAAGCACGACAAGGUUAAUCCGAGUGGUUUGUGCUAAACGAACCUUUUGACAGUCCUAGAAACACUGUUGAAUAAGGGGUGGGCAAGUUCUGGUGUCAGCCGCCGCGGUAAAACCAGCACCUCAAGUGGUCAGGAUGAUUAUUGGGCCUAAAGCAUCCGUAGCCGGCUCUGUAAGUUUUCGGUUAAAUCUGUACGCUCAACAUACAGGCUGCCGGGAAUACUGCAGAGCUAGGGGGUGGGAGAGGUAGACGGUACUCGGUAGGAAGGGGUAAAAUCCUUUGAUCUAUUGAUGACCACCUGUGGCGAAGGCGGUCUACCAGAACACGUCCGACGGUGAGGGAUGAAAGCUGGGGGAGCAAACCGGAUUAGAUACCCUUGUAGUC